CGCAUCUGUGCAUGCAGCAUAUCAAUAAGCGGAGGAAAAGAGACUAACAAGGAUUCCCUUAGUAACGGCGAGUGAAGCGGGAAGAGCUCAAAUUUGAAAUCUUCAAGGUUUUACCUUGACGAAUUGUAGUUUAAAGGAGUGUUUUCUGUUGAGGUUUUGGUAAAAGUUCUUUGGAAUAGGACAUCAUAGAGGGUGAGAAUCCCGUAUUUGACCUUACUUUUCAACUUUGUGAUACACUUUCAAAGAGUCGGAUUGUUUGGGAAUGCAGUCCAAAGUGGGUGGUAAAUUUCAUCUAAAGCUAAAUAUUGGCGAGAGACCGAUAGCGAACAAGUACCGUGAGGGAAAGAUGAAAAGGACUUUGAAAAGAGAGUUAAACAGUACGUGAAAUUGUCAAAAGGGAAGCGUUUGACACCAGUGUUGUUUUCUCGAAAAUCAAUUAAAAAGAGUUAGAUUUUGUUGUGUAUUGACCUUAACAGCUUGCAUUUCAAUUUUCUUGCUUUUUUUAAUGCACUUUUCGUUUAACAAGUCAACAUCAGUUUCUUUUGUUGUAAAAAGGUCAUUGGAAGGUGGCUUUCUUUUCGGAGAAAGUGUUUAUAGCCUUUGACUCCUGCAAUCGGAGAGACUGAGGUCUGCAGCGUAGAUCCUUCGGGGUUAGAUACAUUUGUGCUAAGUUAUAGCUUUUUAUAGACAACUUGUUGACUAUGAUUAGUCUUGUAGCUUACUCGCUUAUGCUAUUUUACCUACGCUUAGGAUGUUGAUGUGAUACUGCGAGC
rnacentral:rRNA from 1 species